rnacentral:rRNA from 1 species
AUUCCAGCUCCAAUAGCGUAUAUUAAAGUUGUUGCGGUAAAAAAGCUCGUAGUUGGAUUUCUGUUGAGGGCGACCGGUCCAUACAACGUAUGCGUAUCUGGCUCGGCCUCGGCAUCCUCUCGAUAGACGUUUCUGCGCUUGAUUGCGUGGAGCGGAUCUCGGGACUUUUACUUCGAGGAAAUUAGAGUGUUCACGGCAGGCUAUCGCCAGAAUACAUUAGCAUGGAAUAAUACUAUAGGAUCUUGAUUCUAUUUUGUUGGUUUCUAGAAUUGAGAUAAUGAUUAAUAGGGACAAUUGGGGGCAUUCGUAUCAACACGUCAGAGGUGGAAUUCUUGGAUUGUGUUGCGACGAACUACUGCGAAAGCAUUUGCCAAGGAUGUUUUCAUUA